AGAAGAACAAAAAUGACCGGGAAAAUCUGACAGGACUGAGAAGAUGACAACAGCACAGCGGGGUUUUAGACGCCCAUCAGAGUGAUUUUCUGAGUUCUUUCACAUGAUGUAUGGUCAGCGAAUGGAUGGAUUAUCCAGUCAAGGUACAGAAUGAAAGACUUGACUGAGUUAGAAGAAGCUGGGCGACUCUUCAGAGUGAAGAUGUUAUGAUGCAGUUAUGUCAAAGCACUCGUUUCAGCUGGCCAGAUUGGAACAGACCUGAAUGGGAAGAUGGCAGAGCUAAGACUGACAAUGUCCAGGAAAAAUGUUAACUAAAAAUGAGUGUUUUUCCUCAGCGAGUGAGUUUGGGAAUGUUUUAAAUGUGCCUAAAAGUUUGAAAAUGUAAUACUGAGGGAAAAAAAGGGAGCGCUUUGAAAAGGCUUUAAAAAGAAAAUAAAGUCUGAAGUUGAUGGUAAAUGAAUUUAAAGUUUUUACUUGAAAAGAUUGUACUUGUUUGUACUUGUCAAGUCUGUGCUGAAAAAAAUGGAGUAAAGUUUGUAUUUGAAAAGACUUGGAAUUGUGUGUUCUGUAGAAUGAGUACACAUAUAUGUGCAGGCUGUAUAAAAAACAUAGUUGUGCCACUAAUAUAAGUGAAAGUACAUGGUGUCAUCAUAUUUGAAGCAUAUUUGUAUCCCUAAUAUAAGUGAAAGUACAUGGUGUCAUCAUAUUAGAAGCAUAUUUGUAUCCCUAAUAUAAGUGAAGGUACAUGGUGUCAUCAUAUUUUAAGCAUAUUUGUAUCCCUAAUAUAAGUGAAAGUACAUGGUGGCAUCAUAUAAGAAGCAUAUUUGUAUCCCUAAUAUAAGUGAAAGUACAUGGUGGCA